CGAAGGGGGCUAGCGUUGCUCGGAUUUACUGGGCGUAAAGGGAGCGUAGGCGGAACGACAAGUCAGGGGUGAAAGCCCGGGGCUCAACCUCGGAAUUGCCCUUGAGACUGUCGAUCUAGAGUUUGGGAGAGGUGUGUGGAACUCCGAGUGUAGAGGUGAAAUUCGUAGAUAUUCGGAAGAACACCAGUGGCGAAGGCGACACACUGGCCCAAUACUGACGCUGAGGCUCGAAAGCGUGGGGAGCAAACAGGAUUAGAUACCCUGGUAGUCCACGCCGUAAACGAUGAGUGCUAGUUGUCGGACGGCAUGCCGUUCGGUGACGCAGCUAACGCAUUAAGCACUCCGCCUGGGGAUACGGUCGCAAGAUUA
rnacentral:rRNA from 1 species